GACGAACGCUGGCGGCGUGCUUAACACAUGCAAGUCGAACGGAAAGGCCCUGCUUUUGUGGGGUGCUCGAGUGGCGAACGGGUGAGUAACACGUGAGUAACCUGCCCUUGACUUUGGGAUAACUUCAGGAAACUGGGGCUAAUACCGGAUAGGAGCUCCUGCUGCAUGGUGGGUGUUGGAAAGUUUCGGCGGUUGGGGAUGGACUCGCGGCUUAUCAGCUUGUUGGUGGGGUAGCGGCUUACCAAGGCUUUGACGGGUAGCCGGCCUGAGAGGGUGACCGGCCACAUUGGGACUGAGAUACGGCCCAGACUCCUACGGGAGGCAGCAGUGGGGAAUAUUGCACAAUGGGCGGAAGCCUGAUGCAGCAACGCCGCGUGCGGGAUGACGGCCUUCGGGUUGUAAACCGCUUUCGCCUGUGACGAAGCGUGAGUGACGGUAAUGGGUAAAGAAGCACCGGCUAACUACGUG
rnacentral:rRNA from 1 species